rnacentral:rRNA from 1 species
UGCAAGCGUUACUCGGAAUUACUGGGCGUAAAGCGUGCGUAGGUGGUUCGUUAAGUCUGAUGUGAAAGCCCUGGGCUCAACCUGGGAAUGGCAUUGGAAACUGGCGACCUAGAGUGCGGUAGAGGGUAGUGGAAUUCCCGGUGUAGCAGUGAAAUGCGUAGAGAUCGGGAGGAACAUCUGUGGCGAAGGCGACUGCCUGGACCAGCACUGACACUGAGGCACGAAAGCGUGGGGAGCAAACAGG